rnacentral:tRNA from 1 species
UCCACGGUCACGUAAAUGGUUAGCGUGCUUGGCUGCUAACCGAGAGGUUGGAGGUUUGAGUCCCCCCAGAAGUG